GAGAGGUGGCUGAGCGGUUGAAAGCGCUCCCCUGCUAAGGGAGUAUAGGGUAAACCCCUAUCGAGGGUUCGAAUCCCUCUCUCUCC
rnacentral:tRNA from 1 species